CAGCGCCACGAGUGGCAAUCAUGUUUACUUGGCCUAAAGCGUCCGUAGCCGGUUUGAUAAAUCUCUUGUGAAAUUGUUAAGCUCAACUUAACACUGUGCAGGAGACACUAUCUUACUAGGGACCGGGAGGAGUCAGAGGUAUUCUUUGGGGAGCGGUAAAAUGCUAUAAUCCUUUGAAGACUACCUGUGGCGAAGGCGUCUGACCAGAACGGAUCCGACGGUGAGGGACGAAAGCUAGGGGAGCGAACCGGAUUAGAGACCCGAGUAGUCC
rnacentral:rRNA from 1 species